rnacentral:tRNA from 1 species
GGGGAUGUGCCUGAGAUACAAGGGCUACUUUGAUAGAGUACACCACAGGGAUCUUACCCCUCGUCCCCC